rnacentral:rRNA from 1 species
GUGCCAGCAGCCGCGGUAAUACGUAGGGGGCGAGCGUUGUUCGGAUUUACUGGGCGUAAAGAGCGCGUAGGCGGUUUGGCAAGUCGGAGGUGAAAGCCCUUGGCUCAACCAAGGAGCCGCGUCCGAUACUACCAGACUUGAGUGCAGGAGAGGAGAGCGGAACUCCCAGUGUAGCGGUGAAAUGCGUAGAUAUUGGGAAGAACACCGGUGGCGAAGGCGGCUCUCUGGACUGUUACUGACGCUGAGGCGCGAAAGCUAGGGGAGCAAACGGGAUUAGAUACCCCGGUAGUCCUAGCCGUAAACGAUGGGCACUAGGUGUGGGAGGUAUUGACCCCUUCCGUGCCGCAGCUAACGCAUUAAGUGCCCCGCCUGGGGAGUACGGCCGCAAGGUUGAA